AGUGAACGCUGGCGGUAGGCCUAACACAUGCAAGUCGAACGGCAGCACAGUAAGAGCUUGCUCUUACGGGUGGCGAGUGGCGGACGGGUGAGGAAUACAUCGGAAUCUACUUUUUCGUGGGGGAUAACGUAGGGAAACUUACGCUAAUACCGCAUACGACCUACCGGUGAAAGCAGGGGAUCUUCGGACCUUGCGCGAUUGAAUGAGCCGAUGUCGGAUUAGCUAGUUGGCGGGGUAAAGGCCCACCAAGGCGACGAUCCGUAGCUGGUCUGAGAGGAUGGUCAGCCACAUUGGAAGUGAGACACGGUCCAGACGCCUACGGGAGGCAGCAGUGGGGAAUAUUGGACAAUGGGCGCAAGCCUGAUCCAGCCAGACCGCGUGGGUGAAGAAGGCCUUCGGGUUGUAAAGCCCUUUUGUUGGGAAAGAAAAGCAGCAGGUUAAUACCCCGCUGUUCUGACGGUACCCAAAGAAUAAGCACCGGCUAACUUCGUG
rnacentral:rRNA from 1 species